rnacentral:rRNA from 1 species
CCUACGGGAGGCAGCAGUGAGGAAUAUUGGUCAAUGGACGAGAGUCUGAACCAGCCAAGUCGCGUGAAGGAUGACUGCCCUAUGGGUUGUAAACUUCUUUUAUAAAGGAAUAAAACGAGGCACGUGUGCCUGUUUGCAUGUACUUUAUGAAUAAGGAUCGGCUAACUCCGUGCCAGCAGCGGCGGUAAUACGGAGGAUCCGAGCGUUAUCCGGAUUUAUUGGGUUUAAAGGGAGCGUAGAUGGGUUGUUAAGUCAGUUGUGAAAGUUUGCGGCUCAACCGUAAAAUUGCAAUUGAUACUGGCAGUCUUGAGUAAAGUUGAGGUAGGCGGAAUGCGGGGUGUAGCGGUGAAAUGCUUAGAUAUCACGAAGAACCCCGAUUGCGAAGGCAGCUUACUAAAUUGUGACUGACAUUGAGGCUCGAAAGUGUGGGUAUCAAACAGGAUUAGAUACCCGAGUAGUC